ACAAAAACUGGAAGGAGGAGACAGACAAAAGUCCAACAGUCCUUUGCCAUGGCCCAAUUGGAAAAUAUUUCAGUUGACCUGGACACUGGUUUCAUUUCCAUGAAGAUAUUUCAGGAAAAUUAAAGAUCUGAGGCAUACGGAAAGAAUUCCUAUUUUAUCCUGAUAUUCUUCAUAUGUGGAAUUUUUAUGUGAGAAGAUGAAUAUGUUAAAACUGGUGUUUUGGCAACUCCAUAGAUUUUGAGUCCAGAUAAUUCAUCCAACUGUGUAAUUUAGCCAAAGUCUAGCAAUCCAACAACCUUAAUCAUCUAUCCAUUUAAAAGAGGAAAUAAUACUAUCCUCUC
rnacentral:lncRNA from 1 species